GGUUGAUCUGAAGAUAGUGAGUUAUCUCAAUUGAUUGUUCACAGUCAGUUACAGAUCAAACUCCUUGUUUACUCUUUCCCUCCUUCUCACUACUGCACUUGAUUAGUCUUUU
rnacentral:Y_RNA from 1 species